rnacentral:rRNA from 1 species
GACGUAGGGCGCGAGCGUUGUCCGGAUUUAUUGGGCGUAAAGAGCUCGUAGGCGGCUUGUCGCGUCGUCCGUGAAAACUCACAGCUCAACUGUGAGCUUGCGGUCGAUACGGGCAGGCUAGAGUUCGGUAGGGGAGACUGGAAUUCCUGGUGUAGCGGUGAAAUGCGCAGAUAUCAGGAGGAACACCGGUGGCGAAGGCGGGUCUCUGGGCCGAUACUGACGCUGAGGAGCGAAAGCGUGGGGAGCGAACAGG